rnacentral:lncRNA from 1 species
GGUGGUUGGACUCUUUCUUGUUCUCUGCCUUCCUCAAGUGUCAGUGCUUCAGAAUUAAAAAACAUCAACAGUCUUACCCGAAUCUCUUCAGCCGGAAACACACAGACAACAUGGACUACAUUGCACCUGGCCGGAAACACUAUCCAGCCUUUAAGCCAGCCACCAUCUUCUGCUUCGACUCCAGCAUUAAACGAGUGUGGUACCAGCCCUACCCCAAGCAACCACAAGCAUAUGGCUACAGGGAUCACCUUCAACAAUUCUCCUCCAACAGAUGGGCAGCCAGUUGAGCAGAUAGUGGUAACUUUGCCUUCGUGCCCACCCUUACCUAUGCAACCACUAAUUGCUCAACCACAAGUUAAAUCUCAGCCUCCAAAAAA